rnacentral:lncRNA from 1 species
AUGAGACACUGAUUAUUGAGCUAAGGACUGGCUGUAGCCUAGACAGUCUUCCAGCCUGGACGGAGGCCUCCUGAGCAACUCAGAGUGAAUGUGUUUUCAGAGUUAAGUACCAGGCACGUUCAGAAUCUCUGGGGUUGAGACUUCUCCAAAAACUUCUGCAGGAUCCUGGUGGGAAGCUCUCUCCUCUCUCUGCGUCAGCUUCCUGGGGGACCCACCGUUCCUUCCAGCCCAGAGCGGCAUCACUGUCUACACAUCACAAGCCUGGGUUGGUGUCGAGUGUCUCUGACUUUGGAGUCUCGAGCCCCGGACUUAGUUUUAUGGGCUUUGGCUGUCGAGGGCAGCCGACGACUCCAUCCAUCAACCGGGGACUGCUCUAACACUAAUGGUGAAUUUAUAGAAGUGGUUAAACAAAGUGUUGACAAUGCGGACGGUGUGUUUCUGAUUAACACACGAUUCCGAGGGAAGCUGCCAUCCGAGGGGGGAGUCAGUAAAACACAGCAGUGAAUUCCCAGGCCCCGGAGACUCCGACUAGACUGGAUCACCAGAGGUUGCGCAAGGAGAUCAUGAGUCUGAGGCUGCUGUGGGGACUCUUGUACAAACCCAGAGCCACCCCUCCCUUCCCCCCCUUUUUUUUUCUUGAGAGAUUACAUCUGAGUUCUCUCUUCCAGCCUUAAGCGUUUCCAUUAGAAAAUUCUGUCAGCUCCCAUGGUGUUCUCUCCAAACCCUGUCCUCAGACCAACCCCUCUCCCAAGGUGACCUGAAACACGGUGGAGCACUUAGCUGCUUUCUGGGUGCUGAUGGCUUUCUUAAAUCAUCUCUAGUCAUUAAGAGAACGGGUGGGGCCGUUUGCAUUUUAAAAAGACUUCUCUUCUAAAUAGCGUGGCUCUCACUGGAAGUUGCAGUAUGAUCCAGAGUGCUCUCUUGUUUCCGUGUUCCCUCCUACCCCAGUUCCCUCUUACCCCAGUGCCCCUUACCCCAGUGCCCCACAUGAUCACAUUCAAUUUCAUGGCCAUAGCAAAUUGUCAGAGCAUAGUAAAUUGCCUUUCUGACAUUCUGGGCCCCUUCAGCAGGAUUUUACUUUAUUUUCUUAAACAGCCUAUAACUUUUAUCACACAUUAAGAUUAGCAACUGCCACUAUCUGUGACGGGAGAGUCUCCCAUGAUUACACCAGAAGUCCCUGGGUUCAUCUCCCCCAUUCCUGGUGAUAAUUGCUAUGUCACGAGGUCGAACAAUGUGUAAGCUUCAAGACUGGCCUCCUAGUACUAGCUUUUCAGACAAAGCCUUGGCAUGGAACCCAGGUUGGCCUCAAAUUCCUGAUUUCCUGCUUCAGCCUCCAGAACAUUGAGGUCACAGGUGUGUGCCACCACACCAGGCUCCAUCUGCCUUCGUUUCUUCCACAUCAUCCCUUUUGGUCAGUGAAUAGUAUUCCAGUGUAUGGAUAUAACACAGUCUGUCCAUUCACUGGUUGAAGAACACCAGCUGUAGACUACACUGGCUGCUGAGAUUCAUACGCAUGAGGUGCUAAUGCAUAUUCAUGGACAGGAUUAUGUGAGCAUCUACAGUUAACAGACAAGGUUAUCAGAGACAAAAGAGAUGAUGGACAGGCCAUCAAGUAAUGUGGACACAGCUGAACUGAGAACUGAACACGGAUACAAACUCUAGAGUCCAUGUCUGCCCAAUUAUGUCUAUGAUGGAAAAUCUUGUAGCUAAAAAAAAAAAAAAAAAACAUUAAAACCUCUUGAGCCUGA